rnacentral:misc_RNA from 1 species
GAUGAAGAACGUAGCGAAAUGCGAUAAGUAAUGUGAAUUGCAGAAUUCCGUGAAUCAUCGAAUCUUUGAACGCACAUUGCGCCCCCUGGCAUUCCGGGGGGCAUGCCUGUCCGAGCGUCAUUUCUGCCCUCCAGCCCGGCUGGGUGUUGGGCGCUGUCCCCCCGGGGACACGCCCCAAAGGCAGUGGCGGCGCCGCGUCGGGUCCUCGAGCGUAUGGGGCUUAGUCACCCGCUCGGGACGGACUCGUCGGCGCUGGUCUUCCUCCAGGCGACCCUUCGGGGCUCGUCUUCCUUCGGUUGACCUCGGAUCAGGUAGGGUUACCCGCUGAACUUAAGCAUAUCAAUAAGCGGAGGA